rnacentral:rRNA from 1 species
AGCAGUCGCCGCGGGAAUACGGAGGGUGCAAGCGUUAAUCGGAAUUACUGGGCGUAAAGCGCACGCAGGCGGUCUGACAAGUCAGAUGUGAAAUCCCCGGGCUUAACCUGGGAACUGCAUUUGAAACUGUCAGGCUGGAGUCUUGUAGAGGGGGGUGGAAUUCCAGGUGUAGCGGUGAAAUGCGUAGAGAUCUGGAGGAAUACCGGUGGCGAAGGCGGCCCCCUGGACAAAGACUGACGCUCAGGUGCGAAAGCGUGGGGAGCAAACAGGAUUAGAUACCCUGUAGUCCCUGUCUCUUAUACA